GUUGACGUUUUGGGCAUUUUUAGCGUGUGCGUGUUUCUUUUGAACUUCAGUUUGCCAAUGCGCUUGAAUCAGUGGCAAAGAGUAUUAUUAGUAUAUAUCAGUGGACUGGGCUGCGGUGGUAGAACGCUCGAGGCACGAUUGUCACAGGCUCGCGCAAUCACUACUUAACAUAUUAGUUGACAAAUUUAACACAUGUUUUCAUAUACUUACGUAAACAACCACAACAGCACAGGAGGGCUGAAGCCUCAGUGCAGCACCUGUUUUGACUCCCAGUGAGAAUGAGUGACAGUCUGCCAAAGACAGUAGUUACUUGCAGUUUGCACAAAUACCCUUCACAUGAUUGCAAUAAUGCAGAUGAAUCUAAGUGUAUUGGUAACUUCACCAUCCUGUGUAGCCGAAGAAGCACCUGUAUGUCCACCAAAAACCAGAGCACAUAAUAUAUAAAAGAACAAGUACAGAAGGCUCACAGUCAACAACCUGUCAACGGACUGCAUGUGACAUUGAGUUCUAUUGCGAAGCGAGAAGGUCAUCAAACUAUGGGCCGGGAACUCUUAGCCGCCGGAAUGUAUGAAAGAAAUGUGGAGUGAGCCACCCCGACAAGAGUUAUUUUUUUAUAAUAAUCAGAUAGAACUGUCACAAAUAGAAGAGUUAAAAUUCACUGCAAUUGAUCAACCACAGAUUUUGUAUAAAAAAAAUGCCUAUGUGAUUAAUGUUGAGUGUAUUCUGAAUAUUUUAUGAAAUACCUAUAUUUUUGUUUUAUUUGUAUAAAUGAUUGCAUCUCUUCUAAAUAUACUGA
rnacentral:lncRNA from 1 species